UACGUAGGGUGCGAGCGUUGUCCGGAUUUAUUGGGCGUAAAGAGCUCGUAGGCGGCUUGUCGCGUCGGAUGUGAAAGCCCGGGCUUAACUCCGGGUCUGCAUUCGAUACGGGCAGGCUAGAGUGUGGUAGGGGAGAUCGGAAUUCCUGGUGUAGCGGUGAAAUGCGCAGAUAUCAGGAGGAACACCGGUGGCGAAGGCGGAUCUCUGGGCCUGUACUGACGCUGAGGAGCGAAAGCGUGGGGAGCGAACAGG
rnacentral:rRNA from 1 species